rnacentral:sRNA from 1 species
AAAAAGAAGAAAAGAAGUGAUUUUUCUCUUCUUUUUUU